rnacentral:snoRNA from 1 species
UAUUAUCUUUUUUAUAAAACAGUUAAUUAUAUUAAUGGCAUAAUAUUUGUAUGAUCCAUUAUAAUAUUUUAUACUUUUAUUUUUUUAAUGAUGAUAUGAAGAACUUGGUCUGUGUUACUGAAAUAAUAUAGAGAUGAAAAAAA